GUUUUUAGUUAGUUUCCUGUUUCCCUCUCACUCUUUCUCUCUCCUAGCUGCUGCUCUCUCCUCUUCUCGCCCAAUGUAUAACUUCCCCAUCUAAAUAAUUCUCUCUUUCGCCAGAAAACACCUCCGACUCAGUCAUGGCACAGACACCGAUUCAGCUAACCACCUUCUUCUCCUUCUUCAUCUUCUUGUCUUCCCUUCAACUCGAUCCCACAACCGUGCACGGCCUCUCGACCAAUUCAACCACCACCGUCCUUCUAGAUGGGGCCCGACCUGCCAUGGUAUUGCCGCUCUUUCUCUCUCCUCCAAAUUCUUCCAAAACACCGUCGAAUCUGCAUCGCCACCUCCAAGGAUCCAAUGCUAGCAACCGUCCCUACGCUCGCAUGAGACUCUACGACGAUCUCCUUCUCAACGGGUAUUACACUACGCGGCUUUGGAUCGGGACUCCACCUCAGAGAUUUGCUCUUAUCGUUGAUACCGGCAGUACUGUUACGUAUGUCCCGUGCUCUUCUUGUGAGCAAUGUGGCAGGCACCAGGAUCCAAAAUUUCAGCCAGAAUUGUCAAGCACCUAUCAACCUGUAAAGUGCAACAUUGAUUGCAACUGUGACAAUGAAAAGGUACAGUGUGUUUAUGAGAGACAGUAUGCUGAGAUGAGCACUAGCAGUGGUGUCCUUGGUGAGGACAUCAUAUCCUUUGGCAAUCAGAGUGAAUUGGCACCCCAGCGUGCUGUUUUUGGUUGUGAGAAUCUGGAAACUGGUGACCUUUACAGUCAACAUGCUGAUGGCAUAAUGGGAUUGGGCCGUGGUGAUCUUAGUAUUGUUGAUCAACUUGUUGAAAAAGGUGUAAUAAGUGACUCAUUCUCAUUGUGUUACGGUGGAAUGGAUAUUGGUGGUGGUGCAAUGGUUCUUGGUGGUAUAUCUCCUCCUUCAGGCACAGUCUUUACAGAUUCAGAUCCUGUGCGCAGGUGUGUUGUUAAAAAUUUUCUCUCUUAGACAUCAUAUGUCUUGAAGCUUCCUAACAAUUACAUUGGUACCUUUCACACAUUUACUCUAGUUUCGGGAUGGCAACAGUCCAUACUAUAACAUUGAUUUGAAGGAGAUACAUGUUGCGGGGAAGCAGUUGCCUUUGAACCCAAGUGUGUUUGAUGAAAGACAUGGUACUAUCCUUGAUAGUGGUACAACAUAUGCUUACCUACCGGCAGCAGCAUUUGCAGCAUUUAAGGAUGCUAUUAUGAAGGAACUUUAUCCCUUAAAGCAGAUCCGUGGUCCUGAUCCAAAUUAUAAUGAUAUUUGCUUUUCUGGUGCUCCAAGUGCUGUUUCCCAACUCUCAAAUGCAUUUCCACCAAUUGAUUUAGUAUUUGGUAAUGGGCAACACUUGUCUCUAUCACCUGAAAAUUACUUAUUUCGGCAUUCCAAAGUUCGUGGUGCAUA
rnacentral:misc_RNA from 1 species